rnacentral:rRNA from 1 species
UACGUAGGGUGCAAGCGUUUGUCCGGAAUUAUUGGGCGUAAAGAGCUCGUAGGCGGUUCGUCGCGUCGGCUGUGAAAACCUGAGGCUCAACCUCAGGCCUGCAGUCGAUACGGGCGGACUUGAGUACUGCAGGGGAGACUGGAAUUCCUGGUGUAGCGGUGAAAUGCGCAGAUAUCAGGAGGAACACCGGUGGCGAAGGCGGGUCUCUGGGCAGUAACUGACGGCUGAGGAGCGAAAAGCGUGGGGAGCGAACAGG